CUAUCAGUUUCCUACAAUAUAAAUGUAGCUAGCGUAAAAUGUCGUCUAGACAAAGAUCUCAAGGUACUCAGACUGGAUAUGCCUGUUCAAAGUGCUGCAAACAGUAUUAAAUAAAUAAUAAAUAGAGAUCAAUCUUGUAAAUAGUUUUAUUGUAACAUUAUUUAUAUUUCGAAACAAAAAGAAGUAAUAUCUUUUGGUUUUUACUAUUUCUUCCUUUUUUUUUUUGAACAAUAAAACUUUAAUGAGCACGAUUA